CCCCAUGAGCCCAUUCCUGGCGCAGGCCAAGGGGAGGCAGAAGCGGGUGAAGGCGGUGAUGGACUGCAAGGGAGACAAGGCGCGGGAGCUGACCUUCUCCAAGGGGGAGGUGAUCGUGGUGACGCGGGAGGAGGACGAGCAGAGCUGGGUCGGCUUCAUUGAAGGUGACGGCUCUCGCACCGGUGUGUUCCCUGCCAGCUUCGUGCACCUCCUGCAGGACUGACCGCGUCCCCAUCGCCCGCUCCGUCCCCAUCCCCGUGGGGUUGGUGGCACUCGGGGCGGGCUGGUGGCCGCCCUCCGUCCCCUCUCUGCUGCCAUCCCCUCCACCUGGCAUCGGGUCCGUGACACGGGACCGUGCUGGACGCUGCCCUCCAGGGGGACUUGGGGACCCCCGCCGUGGGAAGAUCCCCCCUGGAUGGUGGCUUUGGAGGGCCCAAGGGCUGCCACCCCCCGUGCAGCCAUCGGGCAGAGAACGGACGCGCUCGCUGCACUGGUGGCAUAAGGCUUCAGCUCCUUGUGCCACGCUGUCCUCUGUGGGCUCAGCCCAUCCCAGGGCUGCAGGGAUUUGGGGCUGGGCGCUGCCCCUCACCUUCCUUUCCCGAGGGGGAGGGGGGACACGCAGUCCCCCCCCGUCCCCAUCCUGCUGGGGUCAGCUGCCGUGUGCCACUUCUGCCACAACUGUGAAUUGUUUGGGUUUGGUAGGAAACAAGAUAAGGCUUUUCUCCAUCAUUUUAGGGAUUUGAGGAGGGGGGGUUGCAGCUACAGCCUGCCCCCUCCCCACGGUCUCUGAGUCCUCCAGGGCAGCAGGGCUGGGAAAUGCCUAAACUCCUCUCCAAAACCCCUACCCACGUCCUUUGGGUGGAAGGGGCUGCACUGCAGAGCUGUGGCCCUCCCCGGGUGGGUGCUGGUCACCGCCUGGCCAUGGGGGGCUCAACGGGGGUGGGGGGGAAGGGAGGAUGUUCUAUGGGACCCUUCUGCAGCCACUUUCUGGGACCAACGUUCCCUCGUCCCCGUGAUUUAUCCUCAUCCCCAUCGUUGUGCGUCGGACGUUUCAUCUCAAAAGAAACAGAACUCUUUUGUUUUUAUUCAUUUGUUUUUCACCUUUUCUCUCUCUAAUUUCUAAUAAAACCAUCGUUGUUUUGGUUUUU